rnacentral:rRNA from 1 species
AAAUUGAAGAGUUUGAUCAUGGCUCAGAUUGAACGCUGGCGGCAGGCCUAACACAUGCAAGUCGAGCGGUAGCACAGAGAGCUUGCUCUCGGGUGACGAGCGGCGGACGGGUGAGUAAUGUCUGGGAAACUGCCUGAUGGAGGGGGAUAACUACUGGAAACGGUAGCUAAUACCGCAUAACGUCGCAAGACCAAAGUGGGGGACCUUCGGGCCUCAUGCCAUCAGAUGUGCCCAGAUGGGAUUAGCUAGUAGGUGGGGUAACGGCUCACCUAGGCGACGAUCCCUAGCUGGUCUGAGAGGAUGACCAGCCACACUGGAACUGAGACACGGUCCAGACUCCUACGGGAGGCAGCAGUGGGGAAUAUUGCACAAUGGGCGCAAGCCUGAUGCAGCCAUGCCGCGUGUGUGAAGAAGGCCUUCGGGUUGUAAAGCACUUUCAGCGGGGAGGAAGGCGUUAAGGUUAAUAACCUUGGCGAUUGACGUUACCCGCAGAAGAAGCACCGGCUAACUCCGUGCCAGCAGCCGCGGUAAUACGGAGGGUGCAAGCGUUAAUCGGAAUUACUGGGCGUAAAGCGCACGCAGGCGGUCUGUCAAGUCGGAUGUGAAAUCCCCGGGCUCAACCUGGGAACUGCAUUCGAAACUGGCAGGCUAGAGUCUUGUAGAGGGGGUAGAAUUCGGGUGUAGCGGUGAAAUGCGUAGAGAUCUGGAGGAAUACCGGUGGCGAAGGCGGCCCCUGGACAAAGACUGACGCUCAGGUGCGAAAGCGUGGGGAGCAAACAGGAUUAGAUACCACGGUAGUCCACGCCGUAAACGAUGUCGAUUUGGAGGUUGUGCCCUUGAGGCGUGGCUUCCGGAGCUAACGCGUUAAAUCGACCGCCUGGGGAGUACGGCCGCAAGGUUAAAACUCAAAUGAAUUGACGGGGGCCCGCACAAGCGGUGGAGCAUGUGGUUUAAUUCGAUGCAACGCGAAGAACCUUACCUGGUCUUGACAUCCACAGAACUUAGCAGAGAUGCUUUGGUGCCUUCGGGAACUGUGAGACAGGUGCUGCAUGGCUGUCGUCAGCUCGUGUUGUGAAAUGUUGGGUUAAGUCCCGCAACGAGCGCAACCCUUAUCCUUUGUUGCCAGCGGUUAGGCCGGGAACUCAAAGGAGACUGCCAGUGAUAAACUGGAGGAAGGUGGGGAUGACGUCAAGUCAUCAUGGCCCUUACGACCAGGGCUACACACGUGCUACAAUGGCAUAUACAAAGAGAAGCGACCUCGCGAGAGCAAGCGGACCUCAUAAAGUAUGUCGUAGUCCGGAUUGGAGUCUGCAACUCGACUCCAUGAAGUCGGAAUCGCUAGUAAUCGUAGAUCAGAAUGCUACGGUGAAUACGUUCCCGGGCCUUGUACACACCGCCCGUCACACCAUGGGAGUGGGUUGCAAAAGAAGUAGGUAGCUUAACCUUCGGGAGGGCGCUUACCACUUUGUGAUUCAUGACUGGGGUGAAGUCGUAACAAGGUAACCGUAGGGGAACCUGCGGUUGGAUCACCUCCUUACCUUAAAGAA